CUCCCGCUUCUUCCAUCCAUUCGAAAAAAUAAUACAUAUAGAAAUAUCUCCGGAGAGAGAGGCGCUGCUAUUUCAAAUCGCCAUUUUCACACACACACACACACACACACAUACACACACACACAGAGGGCAGAUCUACGGUUUCGUUUUUCCAUUCUCAGAGAUUUCAUCAAUAUCAAGAGGUAUUUCUCUUCUCUUGCAAUAGAUAUGAGUCUUUUCUCAUCUCUAUGCUGCUCUUCCCACGUUUUAGGGUGUGGUUUUUUUUUUCUUCUUCUUUUAUGCCGUAUGCCGAGGAAGAUUAGGGUUUCUGCCCUUGGGAGACGUUUCAAUUUCGUUUUGGUCGGAAGCAUCUCUCUCUAUCUAUACAUCCGAGUGGAUAUGGCCAUGGAAAUGUCAGAUUUCUUCUCAGAUCUUACAUUUUCCUGCAAUUGAGGCAUGUUUAAAGCCAGAGACAGACGAAUACCAUGCUUUUCGAUGAUUUUCCGUACGAGUACGCUGCGGAAUUGUUAAUUUUAGGCUUUCUGAAGGUUAUUUUAGUAGAUUCGGUGAUUUUCAAGUUUUUAAUUUCUCGAUUUGUAAUAGAUUUCGGGGUUUUUUCUGUUGUAAUUUGUGUAUUCUUAGGGCAGAUUCAUAGAAUAUGGGUUUUCUGUGGUGUUUUUGUUUUGAAUGAUAUGGCGGUUUCUAGGGUUCGUUGUGAGCUUCUGUGGGUUUUGAAGGGUUUCAAGUAUUCUUGUUAUUUGCAUAAUUGAGGGCAGAUUGGCACAAUUAGGGUUUUCUGAGAUUUUCUUCUUUUUUUUUUUCAAAAAAUUGUGGUUUCUGGGUUUUGUGUGGUGGAUGAGAAGGGUUUGUUGGAAUUUUGAACGAUUUCUGGGGUUAUUUCCGUCAAUAUAGUCUCCAUCGAGCGGUUUAUAUGAAAAAUUUGUGGAAUUAGGUUUAUCUAAUGGUUCCUUUGGCGGAAUUUGGUGCUUUGGGUUGAUAUGCUGUAGUGAAAAGGGGUUUCUGUUUGGGUUUCGGUCUUUCCUAUUUCCCGAGGUGAUUAGGAAAUUGAAUUAAGCAGUUUUGUAAGCUGCAGAUUUCUGGAACUAUGCCUUUUUAAGUUUUAUAUAGUUCACAGAAGGCUUUUCUCGCAAAAAGUAGGUUUCAAGAUUUAUAUUGCUUGAAUGAUAGUUGAAGGACAUAUGUUGGAAAGGUUUUAAUGGCGGCAGGAAGUGAAUUGUUGUUGAGAAAGGCAGGCAGUUGCAGUCUGAAAGAAGAGAUGGCCAAGGUGACGCUUCGUGGUAUCCGGAAUCAGGGGCAUCCAUACGUCGAGCUAAGGGAAAAUGAGAAACGGUUCACCUUCUUUUGCACGUUGUGUCUCUCCCCCUGUUAUGGUGAAACCACGCUGCUCAAUCAUCUCAAAGGAAACCUUCAUGCUCAAAGGUAUGCCGAUGCGAAACUUACCCUCUUUGGAUCCACACCAUGGCCUUUUAAUGAUGGCAUCUUUUUCUUCCAUCAAUCAUCUGACAAAGACCAACGACAGUUAACAGUAUUGAAUUCUAACGUAUGAUAAGAUUUCAGUUGCUAACAGUGACAACUCUGGAGCUAUUAUGAGUAACAGACAUGACAAUACUUUGGAAGCUGAUAGCAGCGAUGGAAUUGGGCUUAAUGGGAAUAAUGGAAGUGUCAAUUUGAAGCCCAAAGACAUUAUUCUUGGACUUUCUUAUAAUGCCUGUGAUAAAAUUGUAAAUAAAGCUCAUAUGAUAAAAUUCUUGGACUCUGCAUUUCUAUCAAGCAGUGGAACAGAAUAAAGCUUAACCUAAAGCUCAUAUGACACGUUAGACUCAUUAGUCUCAUAUGAAACAUUAGAUUCACUAGUUUGCAAUCUACUCAAAAGUAACAGGUAGAUGACUUGGAUAUUGUUUAGUGGAAUUCAUUCUUUUAUUUGUUAUCCAAACCCUUUUUUCUUUUUUCAGGCCAUUUGCUCAUUCAAUCUCCUGAGUGUUUUUUUUCUUCUUUGAAUUCUAUAUUAAUUUUCAUUUUUGAAUUUUUGUGUAACUUUCAAGGAUGGAUUUGGACUGUGAAUUUAGCCCUCUCAAUAGAAGAAAAGUGAGGUCACCAUGAGUCAUUGGAAUUUGGAAUGUAUUUCAAGCAAGGGAUAGCUGAUGCAACAAAAAGAGCUUUGACUGAGUAGACCUGGUCACAUCAAGUUGUAUGCAUAAACUGGAUCUCAAAGAGAAUAAGCUGUAUUGGAUUUUCUUUAAUUUUGCAGUUGAGGUAAGCCUUACUGUUUCUUGGAUUUUUAAACAGGGAGAUUUCUAACCUGGUACAGGACAUGAAUUUACUUCCUGUGCGUAGCUCAAGAAUGGGAUACCUUGCACAAUGAUCCGGUGAUCCUUGAAGUUCACUAUGUUAUAAAGAUGCAACGGUCAUAAUACUGAGGUCAUGGUUUUUUCCUCAUUGCACUAUGUUAUAAUAUCUGUACUUUUUCGUUCUUUGAGAGAAUUUUGAGUGGAAAUGGAAUCACUAUGGGCCCCCUGGAACUCCAUUACUUCUGCACUAGUCUUAAGUGAUAGUGGCCAUACAUCCAUGUGUUCAUUUAGCUGUGGUUUGAGCAUGGUAGGCGAGCAGUUGUAUCUUGGAACAUAAGGCUCCAAUUUAUCUAGCUCCAGAUAAUGGUGACAUGCUGGUGAGGUAAAAUAGAUCAUUUUAAAUUCUAUAAAACAUGGCUAUAUGGUGACUGCGAGUUGAUAAGGCUUGGACUCUAAUUUCUCCUUUCUUUUCCAUAGUAAUGAUUUUAUUUUUUUUUGGAGUUCUUCUUCUUUGUUUCUGUAAUGGUAUGCUGAUUUCUCUUAAGUCGACAUCCUGAUGGUUUAAGUGUUUGGAACUGAGGCUGGUGUUUUCUCUCGGGUUCUCAUCAUGUUUAGGAAUUGGGCUCCUUGAGCUGGUCGUGUUGGGGGUCUUACUAUACAAUGGAUGGUUUUUGUAGAGCUAUUGUUUCUUUUAGUUCCUUUUCAUUCUCUCUUUUGUUGUAUUUUCUUUUCUUUUGGUAGUCUGUUCUCUCUCUCUCUCUCUCUCUCUCUCUCUCUCUCUCUCUCUUGUUUUGUUCAGGCUGGUGCUAAACAUGUUUAUGCGGUGGAGGCAUCUGAAAUGGCAGAAUAUGCACGCAGGCUUAUUGCUGGGAAUCCAUCAUUGAGAGAAUGGAUUACGGUGAUCAAAGGUAAAGUUGAGGAUGUUGAAUUGCCUGAGAAAGCAGGCAUUCUGAUUUCUGGGGCUAUAUGAUUCAGAAGGGUGUUGCAAGGAGCACAGAUCCAUUGCCAAAAUAUUAGAUCUGAGGCAACAUGAUUGUGUUGAGAUUUCCAUCUUAUUUCCAUGGUUUCUCUGUUUGUGUUGAGAUUUCAAGUCUCUUGGACUAAGGGAAAAAACCCAUCUCUAUUUUUCUUC